UGAGUACGAGAUGCUACGGCAUCGAAGCAGUCUAUGUCAUACUUCCAAGAAAAGCUUGCACUGUCAUAAACAAAGAAUGCCUGUACCAUAACCGACACAGGUGGGUAGGUAGAGUAUACUAAGGGGCGCGAGAUAACUCUCUCUAAGGAACUCGGCAAAAUGACUCCGUAACUUCGGGAGAAGGAGUGCCUUAUUUCUAAGGUUGCAAUAACAAGAUCCAAGCAACUGUUUACCAAAAACACAGGUCUCCGCUAAGUCGUAAGACGAUGUAUGGGGGCUGACGCCUGCCCAGUGCCAGAAGGUUAAAGAAGUUGGUUAGCAUUAGCGAAGCUGAUAACUGAAGCCCUGGUGAACGGCGGCCGUAACGAUAACGGUCCUAAGGUAGCGAAAUUCCUUGUCGGGUAAGUUCCGACCCGCACGAAAGGCGUAAUGAUUUGGAUACUGUCUCGGAGAGGGGCUCGGUGAAAUAGACUUGUCUGUGAAGAUGCGGACUACCUGCACCUGGACAGAAAGACCCUAUGAAGCUUUACUGUAACUUGAGAUUGAAAUUGGACUUUAUUUGCGCAGUAUAGGUGGGAGGCGUUGAGAAUAAUCUUGCGGGAUUGUUGGAGCCAUCAGUGAGAUACCACUCUUGUAAUGUUAGAUUUCUAACUUUGUAUCAUUAUCUGGUCAAAGAACAGUUUCAGGCGGGCAGUUUGACUGGGGCGGUCGCCUCCCAAAGGGUAACGGAGGCGCACAAAGGUUUCCUCUGAACGGGUAGAAAUCGUAUCUAGAGUGUAAAGGCAUAAGGAAGCUUGACUGUGAGACCUACAAGUCGAGCAGGGACGAAAGUCGGUCUUAGUGAUCUGACGGUGCUGAGUGGAAAGGCCGUCACUCAACGGAUAAAAGUUACUCUAGGAUAACAGGCUGAUCUCCCCCAAGAGUUCACAUCGACGGGGAGGUUUGGCACCUCGAUGUCGGCUCAUCGCAUCCUGGGGCGGUAGUCCGUCCCAAGGGUUGGGCUGUUCGCCCAUGAAAGCGGUACGCGAGCUGGGUUCAGAACGUCGUGAGACAGUUCGGUCCAUAUCCGGUGUAGGCGUUAGAAUAUUGAGAGGAGCCUUCUCUAGUACGAGAGGACCGAGAAGGACAUACCUCUGGUGUACCAGUUAUCGUGCCAACGGUAAACGCUGGGUAGCUAUGUAUGGAGUGGAUAACCGCUGAAAGCAUCUAAGUGGGAAGCCCACCUCAAGAUAAGUAUUCUCGU
rnacentral:rRNA from 1 species